UCCCUGGUAGUAUAUCGGUUAUUAGUACACGCGCCUGUCAUACAGAUGGCGCAGGAAUAUACGCGCGAAAGCUGGGUUCGACUCCCAGCCAGGGAG